UUCAAAUAGCUAGAAAACAUAUUUACGUUCCUUCAAAUAGCUAGAAAACAACAACAAACUAGAAAACAACAACAGCAACAACAACCCUUCUUAUAGGUAGCUAGAAAAGAACAAUAACAACCCUUCUUGUAGCUAGAAAACAUAGAAAACAUAUUUACAUACUUCAAAUAAGCUAAAAAAAAAAACAAACAACAACAACAAGAGAUUAAUUUAAAGUGCAUGAAGAACAGAAUCCAGCUGAAAUAAGUGGAUGUUAGUGACCACCUCUGCACUCAUAGAUCUUCUUACAGCCAGGAGUAUAUGGACGCCCGGACUUGGCCGGUGCAGCUUGCAUUCGGCUUGAUAACGCGCGUCUACCUAUGCCUCGUGGGUAAGGCAGGAGAAUCCUCCUCCUUGUCUCAGAAUCCAGAGCCCACUCCUCUUCUUCUACUGCAUGCCACUGCAUGCUGAACGAGGCAUUGGAAGCGUUGGCAGCUGCCGUCACAGCUCCAGCAGGGACAGCAGCAGCAACAGCGAGGAAGAGGGCCAACGCCACAACCCAGAAGCAAUUCCUCAGCCCAAAACCCAUUGCUUGCUUCUCUCGUCCAGCUCCAGCACUCCAUUUCCGCCUCUCAUGGCACGAAUGGCAAAUAUAAAAGCGACUGUCACCAACCACGUGACGAACUGCUAUAAUGCUAUGGUACGCUGCUUUUGGCCGGGCGUCUC
rnacentral:lncRNA from 1 species